rnacentral:lncRNA from 1 species
GCCAACAGGAGCUGGUAAUCAGGAUGGCAGUGAGGCAGGCACUUGCUUGCAGAAGAACAGGCCUAGUUUUUUAAGAAGCCACAAAAGUGUCUUUGGAUGAUUAGGAUCUAAGGGGCCAACAGCUUUGCAAUAACAGCAUAAAUAUUGUGGGCUGGAUGGACAGGCACCAAAUGGGGACAUUCCAUCCUGCUGUGUGAUGAGAAAGCUGCCACUUUUGAGGCCUUCCAAAACAAAUCAACACUCCAUAUGCCAGAAGGAAAAGCCCAGGAAAGACCUAUUCCAACUGGAGAUGAUUGCUGUGUUCUUGUUUCUAGGAAUACGAAGGGAGAAUGAAACAAAACUGCUCCGCUUAGGGAACUUGGAAAGGAAAUUGAAAAGGCAAGGCACAGGCUGGAAGAAAAUAUUUGAAAAAGAUUUAUGUGAACUUCUUUCUGGAUUAUACAAAAUAUUUUUAGAUAUUCUUACAACUCUAAAAUAAGAUAACUCCUUAAAAAUCUAAAUUCUACCAAAGGAGAGAUAAAGAUGACGAAUACAUUCAAAGAUGCUGAAAAUCACUUAUUUAUUAUUAGGAAGUUACAAGCUAAAGCAUAAUGAGAUACCACUACAACCUACUAAACUGACUAAAAUUAAUCAGACUAACCAGGUGUUGGCAAGAAACA